rnacentral:rRNA from 1 species
GACGAACGCUGGCGGCGUGCCUAAUACAUGCAAGUAGAACGCUGAAGAGAGGAGCUUGCUCUUCUUGGAUGAGUUGCGAACGGGUGAGUAACGCGUAGGUAACCUGCCUUGUAGCGGGGGAUAACUAUUGGAAACGAUAGCUAAUACCGCAUAACAAUGGAUGACACAUGUCAUUUAUUUGAAAGGGGCAAUUGCUCCACUACAAGAUGGACCUGCGUUGUAUUAGCUAGUAGGUGAGGUAACGGCUCACCUAGGCGACGAUACAUAGCCGACCUGAGAGGGUGAUCGGCCACACUGGGACUGAGACACGGCCCAGACUCCUACGGGAGGCAGCAGUAGGGAAUCUUCGGCAAUGGGGGCAACCCUGACCGAGCAACGCCGCGUGAGUGAAGAAGGUUUUCGGAUCGUAAAGCUCUGUUGUAAGUCAAGAACGAGUGUGAGAGUGGAAAGUUCACACUGUGACGGUAGCUUACCAGAAAGGGACGGCUAACUACGUGCCAGCAGCCGCGGUAAUACGUAGGUCCCGAGCGUUGUCCGGAUUUAUUGGGCGUAAAGCGAGCGCAGGCGGUUUGAUAAGUCUGAAGUUAAAGGCUGUGGCUCAACCAUAGUUCGCUUUGGAAACUGUCAAACUUGAGUGCAGAAGGGGGGAGUGGAAUUCCAUGUGUAGCGAUGAAAUGCGUAGAUAUAUGGAGGAACACCGGUGGCGAAAGCGGCUCUCUGGUCUGUAACUGACGCUGAGGCUCGAAAGCGUGGGGAGCGAACAGGAUUAGAUACCCUGGUAGUCCACGCCGUAAACGAUGAGUGCUAGGUGUUGGAUCCUUUCCGGGAUUCAGUGCCGCAGCUAACGCAUUAAGCACUCCGCCUGGGGAGUACGACCGCAAGGUUGAAACUCAAAGGAAUUGACGGGGGCCCGCACAAGCGGUGGAGCAUGUGGUUUAAUUCGAAGCAACGCGAAGAGCCUUACCAGGUCUUGACAUCCCGAUGCUAUUUCUAGAGAUAGAAAGUUACUUCGGUACAUCGGUGACAGGUGGUGCAUGGUUGUCGUCAGCUCGUGUCGUGAGAUGUUGGGUUAAGUCCCGCAACGAGCGCAACCCCUAUUGUUAGUUGCCAUCAUUCAGUUGGGCACCCUAGCGAGACUGCCGGUAAUAAACCGGAGGAAGGUGGGGAUGACGUCAAAUCAUCAUGCCCCUUAUGACCUGGGCUACACACGUGCUACAAUGGUUGGUACAACGAGUUGCGAGUCGGUGACGGCAAGCUAAUCUCUUAAAGCCAAUCUCAGUUCGGAUUGUAGGCUGCAACUCGCCUACAUGAAGUCGGAAUCGCUAGUAAUCGCGGAUCAGCACGCCGCGGUGAAUACGUUCCCGGGCCU